UGAUGUGCUGUGACGAGGCAAUUUUUGUGGACUAGAGUUUCUGAUCCGGGUACAAUUCCUGGGAUCUGAUUAUAUACCCUUGGCUGUCUGAGCACUCUU
rfam:Cucumis sativus cultivar 9930 chromosome 2, whole genome shotgun sequence.